UACGGGGGGGCAAGCGUUGUUCGGAAUCAUUGGGCGUAAAGAGCGUGUAGGCGGUCCGGUAAGUCCGCUGUGAAAGUCGGGGGCUCAACCCUCGGAUGCCGGUGGAUACUGUCGGGCUUGAGUACGGAAGAGGCGAGUGGAAUUCCUGGUGUAGCGGUGAAAUGCGCAGAUAUCAGGAGGAACACCAAUUGCGAAGGCAGCUCGCUGGGACGUUACUGACGCUGAGACGCGAAAGCGUGGGGAGCAAACAGG
rnacentral:rRNA from 1 species